GGGGCUGAAGGGAACUGGCAUCCCACCUCGGCUGUAAACCGGGCGCGCUUCGGCGCAUUGCAGGUUCGAGUCCUGCCAGCCCCACCA
rnacentral:tRNA from 1 species